AAAAAAUUCGAAAUUAAAAAAAAGAAGAAAAAAAUCAAAAUUGAAAAAAAAAAGAGUGAUUGAAAUUCAUUUUGGGUUUGUAAAAGCAUUGCUUGUUGCCCGAAGGACCAUAUCUAUAUAGCCACACUUAACCAAUUCUAUUUUGUUUGAUAGCCUACCAUUUCCGACAUCAUUACCUACCAAGCCAAAUCAAUUUUGUAAGCCGACGCCAAACGGUAUUGAUUCGUCGACUUAGUUUGCGAAGAACUUCGAGAGGCGAAAAAUCGAGUGGAAAAAGGCAAGAGUGAUUGGUGUGAGUUCAUUCGAGAGAAGAAAAGCCAAAAGCGAGCGUAAACACGAGUGGAGUGAAAAUUUUCUUUCUGAGUGACUUGCGAGGCUUUGUGGUGAGGUAUUUACUUUUUAUUUUAAACACUUAUUCCUUUUAGCAAAAAAAAAUGUCUCGAGAAGAAUUUUCCGAAAUAGACUUCCAAUAUUUGAUGCAAGAGAUGCGUAGAAUGGUGAAAUCAAAAUUUGAUAAGUUGCAUGAUAGAUUGGAUCGAGUGGAGGAAAGAUUCCGACGAAAGCCAAAUUCACCA
rnacentral:lncRNA from 1 species